GACGAACGCUGGCGGCGUGCUUAACACAUGCAAGUCGAACGGAAAGGCCCUGCUUGCAGGGUACUCGAGUGGCGAACGGGUGAGUAACACGUGGGUGAUCUGCCCUGCACUUCGGGAUAAGCUUGGGAAACUGGGUCUAAUACCGGAUAGGAGCCAUCUUUAGUGUGGUGGUUGGAAAGUUUUUUCGGUGUAGGAUGAGCUCGCGGCCUAUCAGCUUGUUGGUGGGGUAAUGGCCUACCAAGGCGGCGACGGGUAGCCGGCCUGAGAGGGUGUACGGCCACAUUGGGACUGAGGUACGGCCGAGACUCCUACGGGAGGAAGCAGGGGGGAAUAUUGCACAAGGGGCGCAAGCCUGAUGCAGCGACGCCGCGUGUGGGAUGAAGGCCUUCGGGUUGUAAACUCCUUUCGCUAGGGACGAAGCUUUUUGUGACGGUACCUAGAUAAGAAGCACCGGCUAACUACGUG
rnacentral:rRNA from 1 species